AUUGAACGCUGGCGGCAGGCCUAACACAUGCAAGUCGAACGAGUGGCGGACGGGUGAGUAAUGUCUGGGAAACUGCCCGAUGGAGGGGGAUAACUACUGGAAACGGUAGCUAAUACCGCAUACCAUCGGAUGUGCCCAGAUGGGAUUAGCUAGUAGGUGGGGUAACGGCUCACCUAGGCGACGAUCCUUAGCUGGUCUGAGAGGAUGACCGGCCACACUGGAACUGGGACACGGUCCAGAUUCCUACGGGGGGCAGCAGGGGGGAAUAUUGCACAGUGGGCGCAAGCCGGAUGCAGCCAUGCCGCGUGUAGGAAGAAGGCCUUCGGGUUGUAAAUUACUUUCAGCGAGGAGGCGUUACUCGCAGAAGAAGCACCGGCUAACACCGUGCCAGCAGCCGCGUAAUAC
rnacentral:rRNA from 1 species